rnacentral:rRNA from 1 species
AACGAACGCUGGCGGCAUGCCUAACACAUGCAAGUCGAACGAGAGCUUCGGGACUAGUGGCGCACGGGUGCGUAACGCGUGGGAACCGGCCCUUAGGCUCGGAAUAACUCCCCGAAGGGGGUGCUAAUACCGGAUAAUGUAUGCGGACCAAAGAUUUAUCGCCUUUGGAUGGGCCCGCGUUGGUUUAGCUAGUUGGGAGGGUAAAAGCCUACCAAGGCGACGAUCCAUAGCUGGUCUGAGAGGAUGGUCAGCGACACUGGGACUGAGCCACGGCCGGGACUCUUACGGGAUGCAGCAGUGGGUAAUAUUGGACUAUCGCCGAAAUCCUGAUCCAGCAAUGCCUCGUGAGUGAUUAAGGCCUUAGGGUUGUAAAGCACUUUUACCCGGGAUGAUAAUGACAGUACCGGGAGAAUAAGCUCCGGCUAACUCCGUG